UGGGAAGGUGGGGCCCCACUGGGUUGUGU
rnacentral:sRNA from 1 species